rnacentral:rRNA from 1 species
AUUGAACGCUGGCGGCAGGCUUAACACAUGCAAGUCGAGCGGGGGAAGGUAGCUUGCUACUGGACCUAGCGGCGGACGGGUGAGUAAUGCUUAGGAAUCUGCCUAUUAGUGGGGGACAACAUCUCGAAAGGGAUGCUAAUACCGCAUACGUCCUACGGGAGAAAGCAGGGGAUCUUCGGACCUUGCGCUAAUAGAUGAGCCUAAGUCGGAUUAGCUAGUUGGUGGGGUAAAGGCCUACCAAGGCGACGAUCUGUAGCGGGUCUGAGAGGAUGAACCGCCACACUGGGACUGAGACACGGCCCAGACUCCUACGGGAGGCAGCAGUGGGGAAUAUUGGACAAUGGGGGGAACCCUGAUCCAGCCAUGCCGCGUGUGUGAAGAAGGCCUUAUGGUUGUAAAGCACUUUAAGCGAGGAGGAGGCUACUUUAGUUAAUACCUAGAGAUAGUGGACGUUACUCGCAGAAUAAGCACCGGCUAACUCUGUGCCAGCAGCCGCAGUAA